AUCUCUGGCCAUUCGGCGGGGCGGAUGACUGCAGCGACCUUGUAGGUAGGCUGUCUGUAGCAUCGGGCUUCAAGGGAUGCGGCAGGGAACCGGAGUUAGAGGUAUAUGAGCACUUUGAAAGCAGAACACCAUUGUUUCCAUGAUUCAGUCAUUCAGAAUUUAUGAAGAAACAGUUCUUGCCUUUGAUUGACUUAUAGUCAAGUGGAGUAGACAUAGGUCAUGGUGGCAGUAUAGCUACUUAAGUAUUCUGAAGGAGGUGAGUGUGUGGCACUUAACUCAGCCUGAGAGAGAAAAAAUUAGGCAGAGCUUCUAAGAAGUGACUUUUAUACAGGCAUUUAUACAGGUGGACAAGGAUCAGGGAGGGUCAUUCCAGAUUUCCAGGAAUCUGUGGCUGAAUUCUAAAUUGUACAGAAGACACUGCCACAUGUUUUUCCCGGAGCAUUAGCCUUAUUUUUGGAUCAUGCUUCUCUNCCCCGUAACUGGAUGGGUAUUUGGGAUAUGAAAGGAAGUCAGAGGGUGGUAAAUCUUUCUGAGUGGCAGAAUAAUAGGAUGGCUUUACCAAGAAGCAAUGUAUGUACUCAGUAAAUCCUUUUUUAAAACUUAGUUUCUUGUUUUUUUUAAUUGCUUGGUUGGGAACCUUCAUUUUUUUGUUUGGUUUUUUCCCAGUGCAUGGAUUAUAUUCUUGUCUCCGGUUCAGUCUUUUUGAAUAUAAGGACAUUUAAGCUUAGGAAUGAGCACGGGGGAGACGGCAAGAUUAGAAUCCAAGUUCAUACUACAAAAGCAUUUUUGUUGGCUCUGUCUGGGUGACUGCAUGUUGUUUUAAUCAGCUGCAAGCUGUUAAAUUGAAUUUGCAUAGCUCACAUAAAGGACAGUUUAAUUCCACCAGGAUUUGAGUGAGGUGGAAAUAGAGCAGAAAAACCUGAAUCUGUCAAACUGGGGAAAAUGAAGAAAAGGCAAUCAAUUAGUAAGUUGGGCUUAAUGUUUUUUUCUGGGAUUGGGGAAUUGCAGAAAAGAACCUCUGUAGUAGUAAGACGUGAACUGUUAAGUAGCAUUUCUAAAAUAUUUGGGAGCAUUUUACUGACUUGGGGCAUAGUUGUGCCUUAUGAUUAAUGCUCCUUGCAGGAGACUUCCUAAUGGACAGAAAAGAUGGUGACUGGGUGGACUCUUUCCAAAUCACAAAGUGUUAUCUUGCAUUUAGGUUCAUUGACCAUUGGUUGCUGUGAAGGAACCAUAUGUAAGAGUUCAAAUUUCUUAAAGCUUUAAGUUAUAAAAGUAAUAAAUGACCGUUCCCUCAGUAUCUUGACAUGCUAGAAGACAGUGUUCUAAAAGCUGGACUUGUCAUGUUCUUCUGGAGACUAACAAAAUAAGAGUCCUUGAAGUCAAGCUGACUCUGCUUUUAGCCUCCUACAUGAAAAGGUAGAUAGAACAGGUCUUGUGUGCAAAAUGAAUUCAAGACCUACUUAUCUACCAACAGCAAUAACAGUUUGUAUCAUCUUCCUGUAGAAAACAGGAGUAGUAAAUACAGAGAUGAGUGAGGGUGAAGACUUAGCGAACCCAUGAGACUCUUACUGUUAAUUUAUAGGAAAGCAAUUGGACAUUGGAGAGGUUGGUUAGGAAAGCGGAGGAGAGGACCUUUCCUGUAGUGCAGGCUUCAGCACAUCCAGGAAGUCUCCGGAUGGCUAAACCUCCUUGGAUGGAGACCAGCAUAGUGUUGUUUACAGAAUGCUGCAUCAUGGUGAAUCGUGCUGGGGGCAGCUGUCAGUGUGUGAGCCAUGUAAGGUUUUCACAUGUGCUGGAAGAUGGAAAGAGCAGACUGAUGACCAAGUACAAGCUUCAGAAAUAUUUUAUUAGACGUGUACAAGUGCUUGCAAACUGUUGUUUGAAUCAACAGGAAGUCAGUUAUUAAACAUAAUACUUCUCCAAAGAAAAGGUGAUUCAGUUUUACUAGAAACCAGUGUCAUUUUAUAUCCCAAGUCUUUAACCAACUUUGCAAUCUCAUCUAAUAAGGGUGCCUUAGGUUCUGAGUGUUCUAAAUCUCUGUUAGUCUACACCAGGAUUCUAUGGCGGUUUACAUAUUCCCUUUCCCCUUUGUUAAGGUGGGGAGGCCAAAGCUUAUGUUAAUUACUUGCUCAAGGGUUAUAGGGUGAUAUAGGUAAAGCUAAGAAAAGAACAGAUUUUGAUACCUUUUGUCUUAAUUGCCCAUUAUGAAGGAUUGUGGCUACAGUGGUCUGAUUUUUUUUUUUUUUUAUCUUUUUCUGUUUUGUUUAACAGAUUUAUCAGCAGGUUGCAGGUGAACCUGGCCUUGAGGUAAAUCCUGCCCCUUGUUGAAAUGUAGUUUCAGCAUAUAGUUCUUGGCACUUUAAGGAAUUAGAAUAUUUUACAAAAAAAACAAAAGUUUUGUUUUGGUUCUUUUCUAGACUUUUUUUUUUUCCUUGUAGAAGAUGAGAAACAUGUUAAAGGUUCUUUAUGCUGAGUAAUUGUGAUGCUGGAAGUUGGUCAUCUGCCUUGUUUAAAUUAAGUGGAUUUUAAAUGUCAAAGCUAAUUGUAGACCAUUGUUUCUUGAUUAAAAUCUUAUUAAAACCUUAUACGUGCCUA